ACAUAACAGGCAAGAAAGGCAGAUGAUGUAAUGUAGUUACAAAGCAGUGCACUUAGAACAACUACAAAAGCACUCAGAGCGCACAGACCUUCGCCAGCCCCUCCCAAUAGUAAAAUAGACCUGAAUCCAGACGGUGAUCCGGAUCAUCCCCAAAAGUCCGAUUUUCCCUCUUCUGCGGGAGCACCUAGAAGCUCCACUGUGAGCGCCGCCAGACACACCCUCGCGCUCGCCGCGCAGACCGCACCCACUCUCCGCCACAGCCGGGGGCAAUUUGCAAUCAACGAGCCUGGCUAUGAUAAAGGACGACAGGAUAAAGAGCCUCGCCGCUGACUUCUCUUCGUCGGAACGUAGCUCUGUGCUCAUCACUCGUGUCUCAGCUCCCGCUGUGCGCCUCCGCUGCUGCCUUUUCCCCUUGGACCUUGUUUGCUCUCCCCGAUCCUUGACGCCUGCUUUGGACUUCCGGACACCUCUCUCCUGCCUACGACCCCACUCGGACCUCGGACCUCGGACCUCUUGGCCUCUUCCCCUUUGACUUGGACGCUGCACAUCCAACACGCACUCCAACAAACCUUACGGUAUUUACAUACGGUUAAUUCCCACACAUAGUUUUCCAUUCACACACAUAGUAGCAUACA